rnacentral:tRNA from 1 species
AUUUAAGUAGCUCAAAAUUUAGAGUAUAGUUUUGAAGCAGCUAGGGUAAUUUUUAAAAUUCUUAAAUA